rnacentral:tRNA from 1 species
UUCCUCGUGGCCCAAUGGUCACGGCGUCUGGCUACGAACCAGGAGGUUCCAGGUUCGAGUCCUGGCGGGGAAG